GAUCAAUGAUGAUAACAGUCAAAUCUGAGAAUCAGAAGAUCUUCUACCCGAUAUAUGAUCUCUUGCUGUAAGA
rfam:Erinaceus europaeus unplaced genomic scaffold scaffold00014, whole genome shotgun sequence